AUCAACAAUGACUGUUUCUUAGAGUGUGUAUAAAAGGAGGCUAUGUCAUAGUUGGAAAACACAAAUAAAGAGAUAUAACUAUGAAGACAAUACUACCUUUUCUUCUCUUUUCUUUGUGUCUUUCUUUGUUUUUAGGAACCUCAGCUGAGAGGUCUACCUACAUUGUCCAUUUGGAUAAGUCUUUUAUGCCUAAAAUCUUUGCUACUCACCAAAAUUGGCAUUCUUCCAUUAUUGAUACCCAUCAAGAUUGAAGCUCCCACUACACAAAAUAGCCACCAUCCCAGUUCCAAAGCUUCUUUAUUCUUAUGACAAUGUGCUUCAUGGAUUCAGUGCUGUUUUGUCUAAAGAUGAAUUUGAAGCUCUCAAGAAGUCACCAGGCUUUCUUUCAGCUUAUAAAGAUAGGCCUGUUGAAGCUCACACUACACAUUCCCCUGAGUUUCUUAAGCUUAAUCCUGCUUCUGGGCUAUGGCCGGCGUCUGGUUUUGGUGAAGAUGUGAUUAUCGGAGUACUCGACACUGGUGUCUGGCCAGAAUCUGCUAGUUUCAGAGAUGAUGGACUAUCUGCAAUACCAAAAAAGUGGAAGGGAAUUUGUAAGCCAGGAACAGAUUUCAAUUCUUCUUUAUGCAACAGGAAACUCAUUGGGGCGAAUUAUUUCAAUAAGGGGCUUUUGGCUAGUGAUCCUACUAUUGUUCUUUCCAUGAAUUCUGCAAGGGAUAUGAGAGGUCAUGGCACUCAUGUUGCUUCCAUUGCUGCUGGUAGUUCUGUUAAAGGAGUUUCAUAUUUUGGAUAUGCUCCUGGAACAGCAAGAGGUAUUGCGCCACAAGCUAGGAUUGCUGUAUAUAAGUUUAGCUUUGAAGAAGGGACCGUCACUUCUGAUUUAAUUGCUGCUAUGGACCAAGCUGUUGCAGAUGGCGUUGACAUACUAUCAAUUUCUUAUGGGUAUGGUUUUGGUCCAUUGUAUGAAGAUUCUAUUGCAAUAGCUUCUUUUGGUGCCAUGAUGAAGGGUGUGUUAGUCUCUGCUUCAGCUGGGAAUAAUGGUCCUGAAAUGGGAACUUUAUCCAAUGGAGUCCCCUGGAUCUUUACUGUGGCAUCAGGCAGUACUGACCGAUCAUUUUCCGGGACUAUAACUUUUGGGAAUGGCUUAAAGAUUACUGGAUUUAGCUUGUUUCCAGUGAGAACCACCAUAAAGGAUUUUGAUUUGGUUUACAAUGACAGCUUAUCCGCUUGUGAGUCAUCUGAUGAUUUAGCCCAAGUCCCUAAUAAAGCACGUAGCAUCACGAUGUGUUAUAGCACUGCACAAGAAGACUUAUCAGUCUCUGAUCAAAUGGGGGCUAUCUCAGAGGCAAAAUUUGGUGGCGCACUCUAUGUUUAUGGAGAUCCGGAUGUAUUGACAUCCAAUUAUUUUACGAAUCCUGGAGCUGUAAUUAGCAGCAAGGAUUGGGAAAAGGUGGUAGACUAUGCAAAAACAAGUGCUAAACCAAAAGUCAGCAUCAGUUUCCAGGAAACACAUUUUGCUGUUAAGCCUGCUCCAGUUGUUUCUGCAUUUUCCUCGAGAGGCCCCUCCCUAAGCUAUCUACGAGUUGCAAAGCCAGAUAUUAUGGCACCAGGGGAGUUAAUUUUAGCAGCCUGGCCAUCGAACACUUCAGCUGCAAUCAUUGGUGUCAAUACAUUUUUGGAUAGUGAUUACAGGCUUCUUUCAGGCACUUCGAUGGCUGCUCCUCACAUUUCCGGAAUUGCUGCAAUGCUAAAAGGAGUACAUCCUGAUUGGAGUCCUUCAGCUAUUCGAUCUGCCAUGAUGACCACUGCAAGCCCUUUGGAUAAUACUGAAAAGCCCAUCAAGACCAUGGAUUACCUCAGAACCAAUUAUGCUACAUCUUUAUCCAUGGGAGCUGGACUUGUUGAUCCAAACCGUGCAGUUGAUCCAGGCCUGAUAUAUGAUGCAACUCCACAAGACUACGUGAAUCUUCUCUGCUCCAUGAAUUUCACAGAAAAGCAGUUCAAGACAAUUGCUAGAUCAUCAGCUAAGCACAACUGUGCAAAUCCAUCCGAUGAUAUCAAUUACCCAUCAUUUAUUGCUCUCUAUAUCCCAAAUGGGGACUAUGCUUGGUUGGAGCAGAAAUUCACGAGGACAGUCACAAAUGUUGGACCCGGUGCAGCUAAGUACAAAGUAAAAGUGAAAGCACCAAUAAACUCGACAAUUUCUAUCUCUCCACAGACCUUGGUGUUUGAGAAAAAACAUCAGAAGCAGGACUACACUCUUACCAUACGUUACAGAGGCAUUGAAUUUGACCAAGCACAAUCUGGUUCAAUCACUUGGGUGGAAAAGAACGGUCAUCACACCGUAAGAAGUCCUAUAGUAGUUGCUCCAGCGCUUGAUGCCCCAAAUGAAAAUGAUUGAUGCCCCAAACUGAAAUGCUGCAGUUGAUAAUACUGUUGCAUUUGUAAGUUUGUAACUCUCCUCAAGAGGGUUCUGUUAAAGUAGCUGGAAGUAUUCUGGCAAAGCAUGUGCAUGUUUGAAGUAAUUGUUGAAUAAUGUUUUAUUUUCUUGUGUUACCAAAAAACCAAGACUUUGUUGAAUA